CUCUCCCUCCCUGGAAGAAGGGAAUGAGGCAGGGCUGACGUGAAGGGAUGCAAAACAGCUCCUCCUAACCCAGCUCGCGGAGGAAGAGAGACAGAAAAGCAGCCCUUUUAUCUCUCUUUUGUUUUCUCACUUCCUUCCACCCCCCAGCACCCCCCUCUUGUCAGCCCAAGUUUUCUUUUCUCUUUCUACCGCAGAGAGGAUUUUUCUUCCUUUCUUUCUCUUUCUUUCGGUUCAACUCCCACUCAAAUUGAAAGCCUGGAGGGUUUUCUCUCUCUCUCUCUCUUUUUUUCUUCCCUCUUUUCUUCCUUCUUCCUCCUUUCUUAUUUCUCUAAAAGGGUUUUGUUUGCUGUGGGAGUUUCGUUUGAAAAUCAAGUCACGCCUUUUUUCCUCCUUUUCUUUCUCUCUCUUUUUUUCUCCUCAGCAGAAAAGGGGAACAAAGAUUAACUGAAGCGGGAGAGAGGGGGAGCAUCAGAACCUCGCAUGGAAAUGGGGGGCCCGGUCCUGCCCGGCACAAAGGGGGCGAGCUUCCCCCACCGUGGGAAGCUUGGGGCGUCCUCCCGAGAGAAGAGUCGGCGGGGCUGGGGGGCGGGGGACGCGGGUUCCUUCCGAAGUGCGGGCGAGGGCCGCGGAGCCCGCCCCUCCCCAGGCAGAGGUGGAAGGCUGGGUGUGUUCUUCACUUAUGUAUUUUUAAAGUAGGCAGAUGGGCGUGGAACAAACAUCCCCGCGGAGCACUAAACUAUAAGAAGCCUUUAAACAGCUGUUUGCAGAGCCCUGGACGUCCAGACUCGAGGGAGCGGUGCGGACUGCGAGCGCCAGGGCCCGGGUGGGGAAGGGGCUCCAAGGAGCCGCUGGGAUCGGCCCCUCGUGGGCUCGCCAAUCCCACGGCCCGGGCCUUCGCCCAGGGCGCACUGCUGGGGGGCGCCGAGGCGUGGCCGUUGGCAGCGCGGGGGUCAAGCCCCUGGCGCCUUCCUACAGGGCCUCGGGGCUUGGCACAGCCUUGCCCUUCCCCGGCUUCCGAGCCGACCCUCGGCAUCUAACCUCCAGCCGCUUCUCCACUCCGAGCCCUCGGACAGGACGCGGUAGAGCCUCCCCGAAGGGUGGCUGGGAUUGGGGAAUACCUACGUCUGACCAAGACGGCCAGUGUGUCGUCUCAGGAACAGGACCGGAAUGUGAAGACUGUGGUUACCAAGGCCUGGCCUGAUCAGUGGAGGUGUAGCUUGCCUGAAGAGCAAAUAGGAACCAGAAGAGAGUCAGCCUCGUAAAAUCCUGGAGGGCCCCUUGGAGCAGGCGCCUGGCUGUGUUUGCUCAGUGGAGAGAAGUAGACACAGAAGUUCACACUGGGGAGGAGAGAGGGGGAGAAAGAGACUUUUGACUCUUCCAGAGCCUGAAUUAAAUCUCUCAAAACCUCUUAGUCCUUUGCUUGGGUUCCUCAUUCUCCAAGCAACCUGCAGAUGAACUUGGCACCAACAAAAUGCCCCCUGGGUCCAGACAGACACCAGGGUUCCAGUUCCUGCGCUGUAAACCUUUUACGCUUCUAUUAUUUCUUUAUGACGCAAGUUCAUUGUGAGAGAAUUUGAUAACCAGCUAAGCAAAACUGAAAGAGAACUCCAGUAGAGACAUUAUAUUUUUGUGUGUGUCCUUGAAUGUUUUAUAUCCACAUAUCUACAUGUAAAAUGCACAUAGUAAUAAAACUAUGCAAAGUGAAUAUUGUUAAA